rnacentral:tRNA from 1 species
UUCUAACUCAGAAGGUAAAGAAUCUGCCUGCAAUGCAGGAGACCCAGGUUUGAUCCCUGGGUUGGGAA